UUAUGGCUCAGAACGAACGCUGGCGGCGCGUUUAAGCAUGCAAGUCGAGCGGCAAGGGCCUUCGGGCCCCUAGAGCGGCGGACGGGUGAGUAACACGUGGACAAUCUCGCCCCCCGGCCCGGGAUAGCCCAGGGAAACCUGGAUUAAUACCGGAUGAGACGGGACCCGCGAUGGCGGGACCCGGGAAAGGCGCUGCGGCGCCGCCGGGGGAUGAGUCUGCGUCCCAUUAGCUAGACGGCGGGGUAACGGCCCACCGUGGCGACGAUGGGUAGCCGGCCUGAGAGGGUGGACGGCCACAUUGGAACUGAGACACGGUCCAGACUCCUACGGGAGGCAGCAGCUAAGAAUCUUCCGCAAUGGGCGAAAGCCUGACGGAGCCGACGCCGCGUGAACGAAGAAGGCCGUGAGGUUGUAAAGUUCUUUUCGGGAGGGGGAACAACCGUGGCAGGGAAUGGCCGCGGGAUGACGUGAAUCCCGGAAUAAGCCCCGGCUAACUACGUGCCAGCCGCGGC
rnacentral:rRNA from 1 species